rnacentral:rRNA from 1 species
CGAGGAAUAUUGGUCAAUGGGGGCAACCCUGAACCAGCCAAGUCGCGUGAAGGAUGAAGGUCUUAUGGAUUGUAAACUUCUUUUAUACAGGAAUAAAUUGGGGGACGUGUCCCCUUUUGCAUGUACUGUAUGAAUAAGGAUCGGCUAACUCCGUGCCAGCAGCCGCGGUAAUACGGAGGAUCCGAGCGUUAUCCGGAUUUAUUGGGUUUAAAGGGUGCGCAGGCGGGAUGUUAAGUCGGCGGUGAAAUUUUGCAGCUCAACUGUAAAAGUGCCUUCGAUACUGGCCUCCUUGAGUGUGGAUGAAGUAGGCGGAAUUUGUGGUGUAGCGGUGAAAUGCUUAGAUAUCACGAGGAACUCCGAUUGCGCAGGCAGCUUACUAAGCCACAACUGACGCUCAUGCACGAAGGCGUGGGGAUCAAACA